rnacentral:rRNA from 1 species
GACAGAGGUUGCAAACGUUGUUCGGAAUUACUGGGCAUAAAGCGCACGUAGGCGGUCCACUAAGUCAGGUGUGAAAUCCCCCCGGCUCAACCGGGGAAUUGCGCCUGAUACUGAUGGGCUUGAGGUCGAUAGGGGUGAGCGGAACUCCAGGUGGAGCGGUGAAAUGCGUAGAUAUCUGGAGGAACACCGGUGGCGAAAGCGGCUCACUGGAUCGAAACUGACGCUGAGGCGCGAAAGCUAGGGUAGCAAACGGG